GACAUAAUACCGAAACGAACCAAAACAAAACGAUCUUUUCUGUCAAUUGUUUGAAUUUAUAUUAUUGAAUUCAUAAAAAAUAAUAAAUUGUGAUUUCUAAUCGCGUGUUAUAAUUAAGGCCCAUCAGAAAUAAUUGCGUAUGUUAUUCUAAUUGAUAAGGCAAACGUAAGAUGGAUUCAACUACUGACUAUGACGAUAAGAUUGGUGAAGAUUAUGCAUUGGAAGCUGCACAUUUAUUAGGAAAUAUUUCUACAACUACUAAAAACGUAGUUACGCUGCAUAAAGAGUUGUUGGACAUUAAUUUGUCCAUCGAUGCAUAUAUAGCAGAGAGUGAGAGUAGGCUGAGAGAGCUGCGCAUGAGUUUAGCUCGUCAAGCGGAAAGCUCACACCAAGUUGUGGAAAUCUUUAGUGAUAAAUAAUAUUAAGCAUACUUACACCUAC
rnacentral:lncRNA from 1 species